AUCAUAUUUCCCCUUUUGUUGUUUCAGGUGGAUUUGUCUGUCUCCUUGUUUGGAAUGUGAGAGAAGUUUAAUAUCUUGACAGCAUGGUCUGUCACUUAACAGCUGUAUGAACUUGGGCGCAUCUCAUCAGGCUGUUAUUUCCAUCCUGGUGCUGCUCAACUUUGAUCUGGGAAAAUGAAAGGCCAGGCUGCCGGGUCCCCAGCUGCCAUCUUUUGCAGCAAGAGUGAGACUUCACGAUCCCGCUGGCUCGCGUACACUUCAUUUCCCAGUAAUUAAACAAGUGGAGAUCAAAGCUGACAAAUCUCCCCCAUCUCUCAGCGCGGUAGAUGAAAGUUUCAGCCCCCUGCUCCAGGUACCAUUUGCAGUCCAGUUUCUCAGUCGUGAUGGACAGAAAUAUCCAACUCGCUUCCGCACCUCUCCACGAACCACACGCGUCCACAAACAGCAGAGAUUCAUCAGUCACUCCUCACUGGUCCUUUCUUGUUCAUCAUCACCGCCUCCUGAUCCUUG
ensembl:lncRNA